UGCUGAUUGGCCACAACCACAUGUCAAGUAGCAAGGCUCCAAGGAACUUUCAGAGUAUUGAAUGUCAGGGGAUGAAAGGGUAUUAGAGGUCAUCUUGUUCAACCUCCUUAUUUUACAGGCUCACCUUUUCCCCCUGGCCACUAAGUGCUGGAAUUCCUCAAGACUCAGUUCUAUAAGCACUCCUUGGACUUUCAGGCUCUUGAAAGCCAGAAGGAGAGGCCCUGAUUGGAACAGAAGUUGGAGUUUAUGUCAUAAAAAAAAGUUGACAAUGCAGAUAUUCCUUUGGGCACAACCAACCGAGAGCCAAAUAGGGUUUGCAGUUCUUUUGCAUAAACCAAGGAUUCCAGACCAUUUAUACACUGGAAGAAAUAGCCAAUCCAAGUUGGCAGCUGCUUCCAUUACAACUGACUGGUAUGCAAGACUUUGAGAUUAAUGAUUCCAUUUCACAGGCAAUAACAUUAAGCUUGUGAAGUUCAGAUGCUUCUACGAAUAAUCUCUGGAGAUACUUUUUUGGUUACAAGAUGGGGAACAAGAUGGUUUAAGUCUUUACCCAAGGGCCUUCUUUCUUGUGAAUAUUUUCUGCCUUGUGUUAUACCUGUGUCAACACCCCCCUCUCCCUCGAGUUCCUUUUCACAAGCACUGGUUAUCUAAGAAGCACUCAGUCUCGGGCUUUAGGCAGGAUUUUAUUAACCAGUAAGAAUAGAAAAUAGAGAAUUGUAAAAAUGUAGGACUUAAUUAAAAGUGUAGAAAAUUAUAGACUUGGGGUCACCUGGGUGGCUCAGUCGGUUGAGCAUCCAACUCUUGAUUUCCACUCAGGUCAUA